GUCGAGGGGUAUAGUUCUUCGGAACUAGAGACCGGCGCACGGGUGCGUAACGCGUAUGCAAUCUACCUUUUACAGGGGAAUAGCCCAGAGAAAUUUGGAUUAAUGCCCCAUAGUGUUAUAGAAUCGCAUGGUUUUAUAACUAAAGUUCCAACGGUAAAAGAUGAGCAUGCGUCCCAUUAGUUAGUUGGUAAGGUAACGGCUUACCAAGACAAUGAUGGGUAGGGGUCCUGAGAGGGAGAUCCCCCCACACUGGUACUGAGACACGGACCAGACUCCUACGGGAGGCAGCAGUGAGGAAUAUUGGACAAUGGGCGCAAGCCUGAUCCAGCCCAUGCCGCGUGCAGGAAGACGGUCCUAUGGAUUGUAAACUGCUUUGUACAGGAAGAAACACUCCCUCGUGAGGGAGCUUGACGGUACUGUAAGAAUAAGGAUCGGCUAACUCCGUG
rnacentral:rRNA from 1 species